rnacentral:rRNA from 1 species
CAAUAGCGUAUAUUAAAGUUGUUGCAGUUAAAAAGCUCGUAGUUGGAUUUCUGGUUGGAGCGACCGGUCGGGCAUUGAUUUGUCUGCACUGGAGUCGGUUCUGGCCAUCCUCUUGGAAAGUGCGUCUGUCAUUAAGUUAUCGGGCGUAUGAUCCAGGUCUUUUACUGUGAAAAAAUUAGAGUGUUUAAAGCAGGCCUUCGCCUUGAAUACAUUAGCAUGGAAUAAUAAGAUGGGACUUUGGUCUAUUUUGUUGGUUUGCAGACCGAAGUAAUGAUUAAUAGGGAUAGUUGGGGGUAUUUAUAUUCCAAUGUCAGAGGUGAAAUUCUUAGAUUUUUGGAAGAUAAACUUAUGCGAAAGCAUUUACCAAGGAUGUUUUCAUUAA